rnacentral:rRNA from 1 species
UCGCUAUUAGAUGAGCCUACGUUAGAUUAGCUAGUUGGUAAGGUAAUGGCUUACCAAGGCUGUGAUCUAUAGCUGGUCUGAGAGGACGAUCAGCCACACUGGAACUGAGAUACGGUCCAGACUCCUACGGGAGGCAGCAGUGGGGAAUAUUGGACAAUGGGCGAAAGCCUGAUCCAGCUAUGCCGCGUGAGUGAAGAAGGCCUUCGGGUUGUAAAACUCUUUCAAUAGGGAAGAUAAUGACGGUAC